rnacentral:rRNA from 1 species
AUGAAGCCGGAAUUGCUAGUAAUGGCAGGUCAGCAUACUGCCGUGAAUACGUUCCCGGGCCCUUGUACACACCGCCCGUCACACCAUGAGAGUUGGGGAUACCCGAAGCCUGUGAGCUAACUUAACGGAGGCAGCAGUCGAAGGUAGAAUCAAUGAUUGGGGUGAAGUCGUAACAAGGUACC